CUCUUCAUGAAAGCUACCGUAUAGGGAUGAGCCUGCGUACCAUUAGCUAGUAGGUGAGGUAACGGCCCACCUAGGCAACGAUGGUUAGCGGGUCUGAGAGGAUGAUCCGCCACACUGGAACUGGAACACGGACCAGACUCCUACGGGAGGCAGCAGUGAGGAAUAUUGCGCAAUGGGGGAAACCCUGACGCAGCGACGCCGCGUGAGUGAGGAAGGUUUUCGGAUCGUAAAGCUCUGUCAGAAGGGAAGAAGUGUUAUAUGGUUAAUACCCGUAUAAUUUGACGGUACCUUCAGAGGAAGCACCGGCUAACUCCGUGCCAGCAGCCGCGGUAAUACGGAGGGUGCAAGCGUUGUUCGGAAUUACUGGGCGUAAAGGGCGCGUAGGCGGCCUGCUAAGUCAGAUGUGAAAGUCCACGGCUCAACCGUGGAAGUGCAUUUGAAACUGUCAGGCUUGAGUAUCGGAGGGGAAAGUGGAAUUCCCGGUGUAGAGGUGAAAUUCGUAGAGAUCGGGAGGAACACCGGUGGCGAAGGCGACUUUCUGGACGAAUACUGACGCUGAGGCGCGAAAAGCGUGGGGAGCAAAACAGGAUUAGAUACCCUGGUAGUCCACGCCGUAAACGAUGUGAACUAGGGAUAGGGGGUGUUGAUCCCUCCUGUCCCGGAGCUAACGCAUUAAGUUCACCGCCUGGGGAGUACGGUCGCAAGAUUAAAACUCAAAGGAAUUGACGGGGGCCCGCACAAGCGGUGGAGUAUGUGGUUUAAUUCGACGCAACGCGAAGAACCUUACCUGGGCUUGACAUCCCAAGAAUCUCCUGGAAACAGGAGAGUGCGUCAUUAGAUGAACUUGGUGACAGGUGCUGCAUGGCUGUCGUCAGCUCGUGUCGUGAGAUGUUGGGUUAAGUCCCGCAACGAGCGCAACCCCUGCCUUUAGUUGCCAGCAGUUCGGCUGGGCACUCUAGAGGGACUGCCGGUGUCAAACCGGAGGAAGGUGGGGAUGACGUCAAGUCCUCAUGGCCUUUAUGCUCAGGGCUACACACGUACUACAAUGGUCGGUACAAAGGGCAGCGACUUAGCGAUAAGGAGCUAAUCCCAUAAAACCGGUCUCAGUCCGGAUUGGAGUCUGCAACUCGACUCCAUGAAGUUGGAAUCGCUAGUAAUCGUGGAUCAGCAUGCCACGGUGAAUACGUUCCCGGGCCUUGU
rnacentral:rRNA from 1 species